rnacentral:rRNA from 1 species
GACGAACGCUGGCGGCGUGCUUAAUACAUGCAAGUCGAACGGAAAGGCCCUGCUUUUGUGGGGUGCUCGAGUGGCGAACGGGUGAGUAACACGUGAGUAACCUGCCCCUGACUUUGGGAUAACUUCAGGAAACUGGGGCUAAUACCGGAUAGGAGCUCCUGCUGCAUGGUGGGGGAUGGAAAGUUUCGGCGGUUGGGGAUGGACUCGCGGCUUAUCAGCUUGUUGGGGGGGUAGUGGCUUACCAAGGCUUUGACGGGUAGCCGGCCUUGGAGGGUGGACGGCCACAAUGGUACUGAGAGACGGCCCAGACGCGAACGUUAGGCAGCAGUGGGGAAUAUGGCGCAGUGGGCGGGAGCCUGAGGCAGCAGCGCUGCGUGCGGGAUGACGUCCUUCGAGUGAUAAACCGCUUUCGCCUUUGACGAAGCGGUAGUGACGGUAAUGGGUAAGGAAGCAACGGCUAACUACGUG